rnacentral:tRNA from 1 species
GCCUUCGUGGCGGAACUGGUAGACGCGCAGCGUUCAGGACGCUGUGUCGCUUGCGACGUAGAGGUUCGAGUCCUCUCGAAGGCA